rnacentral:lncRNA from 1 species
GGCGGCGCUCGUCGGGGAGGCUCGGGCCGCACAGGAGCCCACGGCGGGGGCGGGGGGAAGCUCAGGCAUGGCGGGCUGCAGGUCCCAAGCCCUGCCCCGCGGGGAGGCAGCUAAGGCCCCGCGAGAACUCGAGCACAGCAGCUGCUGGACCAGGUGCUAAGCCCUUCACUGCCCAGGGCAGGCGGGGCCAGCAGGCCGCUCUGAGUGCCGGGCCCGCCGAGUCCACGCCCACCCGGAACUCACGCUGGCCCGGAAGCGCCGCGCGCAGCCCUGGUUCCCGCCUGCGCCUCUCCCUCCACACCGCCUUGCAAGCUGAGGGAGCCGGCUCCGGCCUCUGCCAGCCCAGGAAGGGGCUCCCACAGUGCAGCGGCGGGCUGAAGGACUCCUCAAGUGCCACCAAAGUGGGAGCCCAGGCAGAGGAGGCGCCGAGAGCGAGCGAGGGCUGCCUGCCAGCACGCUGUCACGUCUCAGCAAUAGACUGCUCUUGAGGCUGGAGUGCAAUGUUGUUAUCAUAGCUCACUGCAACCUGGAACCCCUAGUCUCAAGAGAUCCUCCAGCCUCAGCCUCCCUGUUCCAGGAUACAUGUGCAGGAUGUGCAAGUUUGCUACAUGGGUAAAUAUGUGCCAUGGCAGUUUGCUGCAUCUAUUAACCCAUUACCUAGGUAUUAAGCCCGGAAAUAAGAAUGGCAGAAAUGUGAAGAGUUAUUGUGUGGGGAAGUGGCCUCUACAUAGAAAUGUUUUUCCACUGAAUGUUCCUGUUGUGCUGAUGAACAAAGGAGUUCAUCACAGGCCAGAAACUAAGAUAGAUAGAUAAAUAAAUAAAUAAAUAAAUAAGUAAUAAAUAAAUAAAUAACCUCUAGUGCUUUUUUGUAUAACGGUGAUGUAACUUUCUCCCUUCACAACAUAAGGAUAUCAAGGUUGUUCUGUCUAUAGCUCUCCCACAACCACAUCCCCAGAUGUCCAGAGGUAACGACUUUGGUUCAGGGAAUGCCCUGGGGAUGGCAUUCAACCAGGAUAGUGUUAAACACCAAGUGAUAUUUUGACAUGCCAACAUUUCUUGAGUUACUGCAAAAUAUGAGUAAAGUACUAUCACAUGUUAAUGGGCUGUGAGGACUAACUGGCUUGGAUCUGGGUUUGAGUCCUUUGAGAUUAUCAGGUAAGUAAUAACUAUGUCAGGAGGGGCUGAGGACUCCAUGUGAUUCUAAUGAAGAUCAAUAUUGCUUGCCAUGGCCCAUUGAUAGGGACAGGGGGCAGAGAAAUUCUAGGCAGACAGGGGCAAAGCCCCACCUUCAAGCUGAAGCCUGAGAUCGCAGCCCAAAGUGAGAACUUAGAUCUCUAUUUCCCUGCUCAAAUGCUGUCUUUUCCUAAAUCACCCAUGACACUACCCCACCCCAUCCUUUGCCUGUAAAGAUCCCAGAAAACCUGCAGAGAGAAGCAGCAGCUGGACCUCGGGAUGACUAUGGCUGGACGUCAGGAGAGAAGCAGUUUGACUUCAGAGGGACAGCUUGAUGGUGUAACUUCAGAGAAGAAUCUGGUUAGAGAUGGCUAGACUCCAGGAAAAGAUUACCUACCCUUCCCCUACCCUUUUCUCAGCUCCCCUUCCCACUGAGAGCCACUUUCACCGCAAUAAAAUCCCCCACAUGCACUAUCCUUCAAUUCAUUUGUGCAACCUCAUUUUUCCUGGAUAUCGGAAAAGAACUCGGGAGCCACGAGCGCAGAUACAAAAGGGCCCACUGAGCUGUUAACACUUAAGCUGUAUACAGACGGAAGAGCAAAAAGAGCACUUUGACAUGGCCACUGGGACUUCCGGAGUCACAGACAACUCCCCGCCCCCAGCCUCCAGACGCUGCCCCUGGGCCGCAUGGAUGCUCCUACUGACCCGAAAGUGCUCACCCCCGUUCCUGCACCCAUUCAUCUGUGUGCUCCCUCCUGUGCGGGGUGAAGUACAGCAGGUCUGAGUGAGUGGAGUUUACU